GUCUUCGUCGUCUAGAGGCCUAGGACACUGCCCUUUCACGGCAGCAACACGGGCUCAAAUCCCGUCGAAGACG
rnacentral:tRNA from 1 species